CUACCGGAGUGACGGUACCUGAGAAGAAAGCCCCGGCUAACUACGUGCCAGCAGCCGCGGUAAUACGUAGGGGGCAAGCGUUGUCCGGAAUUAUUGGGCGUAAAGCGCGCGCAGGCGGCUAUUUAAGUCUGGUGUUUAAACCAUGGGCUCAACCUGUGGUCGCACUGGAAACUGGGUGGCUUGAGUACAGAAGAGGAAAGUGGAAUUCCACGUGUAGCGGUGAAAUGCGUAGAGAUGUGGAGG
rnacentral:rRNA from 1 species